rnacentral:lncRNA from 1 species
UGAAUUUAUGUUUUGAAAAAAGAGAUUGUAAUAUGCUAAUAAUGGCUCAAAGAUGUAACUUACAAGUCAAUGGUAUAACGAUACCAUAAGCAUGUAUGUCAUAACAGAGUAUGUUUUCAGAAUAUGUUUUCGUAGAAUGCAUGUUUUAAAGUGUUAAAAAUGGGCUUAAAGAGGGUUAGGUGGUUACCCAAAGAAGGCUUGAGUUCAAGUAAAUCUUAGCCUAAAAC